CGACGAUGAGUCUCGAAUCGCCUUUUCAACUUGGAACAAGAGGGGGAAGUUCUUACCAAAGCAGCCGUAAGAGGAGACAUGGGAGAGACGGUGGAGGCAGAACACUGACCAGAACGGCAAAGGCAGCAAUGCAGAGCCACUCCGGCGAACCCUCCGGGAGAGAUCUGACCCAGAUCUACUCCGUGCGAAACCCUAGAUCUACCAGCUUGACGACGCCUCCAGCUCAGAUCCGGCUCACCACGACCUCGCCAUCUCUCCAG
rnacentral:lncRNA from 1 species